rnacentral:rRNA from 1 species
CCUACGUGUGGCAGCAGUGAGGAAUAUUGGUCAAUGGGCGGGAGCCUGAACCAGCCAAGCCGCGUGAGGGAAGAAGGUCCAGCGUAUCGUAAACCUCUUUUGUCAGGGAAUAAAGGCGGGGACUAGUCCCCGGAUGAGGGUACCUUAAGAAAAAGCAUCGGCUAACUCCGUGCCAGCAGCCGCGGUAAUACGGAGGAUGCGAGCGUUAUCCGGAUUUAUUGGGUUUAACGGGUGCGCAGGGGGCCUGUUAAGUCAGCGGUAAAAGCCCGGGGCUCAACCCCGGCGAGCCGUUGAAACUGGCAGGCUGGAGUUGGGGAGAGGUACGCGGAAUGCGCGGUGUAGCGGUGAAAUGCUUAGAUAUCGCGCAGAACCCCGAUUGCGAAGGCAGCGUACCGGAUCUACACUGACGCUGAGGCACGAAAGCGUGGGUAUCGAACAGGAUUAGAUACCCGUGUAGUC